rnacentral:rRNA from 1 species
UCGCCUGUUUAACAAAAACAUGUCUCUGUGAAGGUCUACACAGUCUGGCCUGCCCACUGAACUAUUAAAGGGCCGCGGUAUCUCUGACCGUGCGAAGGUAGCAUAAUCAUUAGUCUUUUAAUUGGAGGCUCGUAUGAAAGGUCGAACGAGUGAUAAACUGUCUUAAUAAAAAAAAUCGAAAUUAACUUUAAAGUGAAAAGGCUUUAAUAUACUAGAAAGACGAUAAGACCCUAUAAAUCUUUACACUAACACUUAGUAUUAGGCCAAUUUGUUUGUUUAAGGAGAAAUACUAAAAAAGUGUUUUGUUGGGGC